CGUGUCGUGAGAUGUUGGGUUAAGUCCCGUAACGAGCGCAACCCUUGUCCUUAGUUACCAGCACGUCAUGGUGGGCACUCUAAGGAGACUGCCGGUGACAAACCGGAGGAAGGUGGGGAUGACGUCAAGUCAUCAUGGCCCUUACGGCCUGGGCUACACACGUGCUACAAUGGUCGGUACAGAGGGUUGCCAAGCCGCGAGGUGGAGCUAAUCCCACAAAACCGAUCGUAGUCCGGAUCGCAGUCUGCAACUCGACUGCGUGAAGUCGGAAUCGCUAGUAAUCGCGAAUCAGAAUGUCGCGGUGAAUACGUUCCCGGGCCUU
rnacentral:rRNA from 1 species